CUGGGUUAGGCAUUGUUCUAAGCACUUUAUACGGAUGGGCUGAGUUUUUCUGUCACCCCAUUUCAUAGAUUAGGAAAUUGAGGUUAGGCCCAAGGUCACACAGUGAACAAAUGAGAAGCCAGGGUUCUUUCUGUUCCCCACCACAGCCCAGAGAUGCUGUCUGCUGUGUGUUCCCCUAGCCUCAGUGGCUUGUGCCAUGGGCCCGCACUGUCUAUCACUACAGCAAAGCUCCUGAGGCCCAGAACCAGUGGCCUGCGUCUGGGCCUGCAUGCCCCAGUAUGUGUGUGUGGGAGACAGCCUCUGGCCCCUGUGGGCAGGCAAGCUUUGCUGUGGGGCCCCUCAGUUGCGGCUAAGACUGGUUACCUUCCAAGAGCAGCGAGUAUGCACUGCCCAGUCCUUUAAAACCAUUUUCCUUUUUACACAAUUGAUCCUCGGAUCUGACACUACUAACACCUUC